rnacentral:rRNA from 1 species
UACGAAGGGGUCUAGCGUUGUUCGGAAUUACUGGGCGUAAAGCGCACGUAGGCGGCUUUGUAAGUUAGAGGUGAAAGCCCGGGGCUCAACUCCGGAACUGCCUUUAAGACUGCAUCGCUAGAAUUGUGGAGAGGUGAGUGGAAUUCCGAGUGUAGAGGUGAAAUUCGUAGAUAUUCGGAAGAACACCAGUGGCGAAGGCGACUCACUGGACACAUAUUGACGCUGAGGUGCGAAAGCGUGGGGAGCAAACCGG